CAGUAGCCGCGGGAAUACGAAGGGGGCUAGCGUUGCUCGGAAUUACUGGGCGUAAAGGGAGCGUAGGCGGACAUUUAAGUCAGGGGUGAAAUCCCAGAGCUCAACUCUGGAACUGCCUUUGAUACUGGGUGUCUUGAGUGCGAUAGAGGUAUGUGGAACUCCGAGUGUAGAGGUGAAAUUCGUAGAUAUUCGGAAGAACACCAGUGGCGAAGGCGACAUACUGGAUCAUUACUGACGCUGAGGCUCGAAAGCGUGGGGAGCAAACAGGAUUAGAUACCCCCGUAGUCCCUGUCUCUUAUAA
rnacentral:rRNA from 1 species